rnacentral:rRNA from 1 species
AGUGAACGCUGGCGGUAGGCCUAACACAUGCAAGUCGAACGGCAGCACAGGAGAACUUGCUUUCUGGGUGGCGAGUGGCGGACGGGUGAGGAAUACAUCGGAAUCUACUCUGUCGUGGGGGAUAACGUAGGGAAACUUACGCUAAUACCGCAUACGACCUACGGGUGAAAGCAGGGGAUCUUCGGACCUUGCGCGAUUGAAUGAGCCGAUGUCGGAUUAGCUAGUUGGCGGGGUAAAGGCCCACCAAGGCGACGAUCCGUAGCUGGUCGGAGAGGAUGAUCAGCCACACUGGAACGGAGACACGGUCCAGACUCCGACGGGAGGCAGCAGUGGGGAAUAUUGGACAAUGGGCGCAAGCCUGAUCCAGCCAUACCGCGUGGGUGAAGAAGGCCUUCGGGUUGUAAAGCCCUUUUGUUGGGAAAGAAAUCCAGCUGGCUAAUACCCGGUUGGGAUGACGGUACCCAAAGAAUAAGCACCGGCUAACUUCGUGCCAGCCGCCGCCGUAA